rnacentral:rRNA from 1 species
GAUGAACGCUGGCGGCGUGCCUAAUACAUGCCAGUCGAGCGAACAGACGAGGAGCUUGCUCCUCUGACGUUAGCGGCGGACGGGUGAGUAACACGUGGAUAACCUACCUAUAAGACUGGGAUAACUUCGGGAAACCGGAGCUAAUGCCGGAUAAUAUAUUGAACCGCAUGGUUCAAUAGUGAAAGACGGUUUUGCUGUCACUUAUAGAUGGAUCCGCGCCGCAUUAGCUAGUUGGUAAGGUAACGGCUUACCAAGGCAACGAUGCGUAGCCGACCUGAGAGGGUGAUCGGCCACACUGGAACUGAGACACGGUCCAGGCUCCUACGGGAGGCAGCAGUAGGGAAUCUUCCGCAAUAGGCGAAAGCCUGACGGAGCAACGCCGCGUGAAUGAUGAAGGUCUUCGGAUCGUAAAACUCUGUUAUUAGGGAAGAACAAAUGUGUAAGUAACUAUGCACGUCUUGACGGUACCUAAUAAGAAAGCAACGGCUAACUACGUG